AAUUCUUCAAACACAUCCGCGUUGCCUCCCGUAACUCAAUAAAGAAUCCUUCAGGCACUUCAGAAUCAGCCAUGAUCCCAUCACCACAAGCGUGCCAGUAUCCACCCUGCUGACCUUCAGGGGAAAAAACAUGUUUCAGCAUGGUGUGUUAGAAUGGAGAGUGGGUAACAAAAUAAUGGAUGACAGGAGCUAGACAUUUUUCAGACCAAGAAACAUAAAUGAGAAUGUUGGAUCAAGCUGUAAGUACCCACAGACACCAAUAUUGCAGGAAUGUUACACAAAUAUAUAAUGAACAUCAUCAUCUGUGUCUUGACAGUAAAUUUAU